rnacentral:rRNA from 1 species
UUGAACGCUGGCGGCAUGCUUUACACAUGCAAGUCGAACGGUAACAGGGUGCUUGCACCGCUGACGAGUGGCGAACGGGUGAGUAAUGCGUUGGAACGUGCCGAGUAGUGGGGGAUAACGCAGCGAAAGUUGUGCUAAUACCGCAUACGUACUGAGGUAGAAAGUGGGGGACCUUCGGGCCUCACGCUAUUCGAGCGGCCGACGUCUGAAUAGGGAGUAGGUGAGGUAACGGCUCAACAAGGCUAAGACGGGUAGCUGGUCUGAGAGGGCGACCAGACACACUGGAACUGAGACACGGUCCAGACACCUACGGGUGGGAGCAGUCGAGAAUUUUUCACAAUGGGCGCAAGCCUGAUGGAGCGACGCCGCGUGGGGGAUGAAUGGCUUCGGCCCGUAAACCCCUGUCAUUUGCGAUCAAACCUUAUUAUUUAAAAGAUGAUGAGUUGAUAGUAGCGAAAGAGGAAGGGACGGCUAACUCUGUGCCAGCCGCCGCAGUAA